rnacentral:rRNA from 1 species
UACGUAGGUGGCAAGCGUUGUCCGGAUUUACUGGGCGUAAAGGGAGCGUAGGCGGACUUUUAAGUGAGAUGUGAAAUACCCGGGCUCAACUUGGGUGCUGCAUUUCAAACUGGAAGUCUAGAGUGCAGGAGAGGAGAAUGGAAUUCCUAGUGUAGCGGUGAAAUGCGUAGAGAUUAGGAAGAACACCAGUGGCGAAGGCGAUUCUCUGGACUGUAACUGACGCUGAGGCUCGAAAGCGUGGGGAGCAAACAGGAUUAGAUACCCGGGUAGU